UUCUGGUUAGGUGUCCUCUCAUGCCUGCAGAGGCGCAUGUAAGCUUAGCAUGAAUGCUCUCACUUGGACAAAAAUCUUAUUCUGGUCUUGACUGUUGUUCAGCACGGUGUGUGGGUCAACAUGGGAUCUGAUCUGUUACAUAGAGAAUUUCUGUAUCGGCCAUCUUCUGAAGAUGGUUGUGAUGUUGGCACUCUUUUACAUUGGUCAUUUUUAAACGGUUGAUAAGAAGCAAACUGCUGCUAAUCAUGCAAGUUUUAGAAAAUUCUGAUGCAUAAUGUUGGGUGUUAUCCACUGCUAAUCAUACAUUGUUGUUGGCUCUCUUUUACUGCUCAAACUGCCAACCUAUUGGAAGGAUUGGGUGUCACAAGCACUUAACAGGUUGGACGUUAUCCACUGUAAAUCUCAUGUUCUUGACAGCCUACACUUGAAGUUUGAGCGGUAACAGUAGCAGUAACAACUCCACCAGAGAUUUCCAAGUAAAGCCCUUCUCUACAUGUGCUAGUGCUAGUGUUAAUAGCACUAGCAGUAACAACUCCACUAGAGAUUUCCUUUCGUUAACAGACAAGCUGCUGAUGGCCCAGUGCGACAUACUACUGGGAUAUAUUUUCAGUGAUUCUUGAUUCUUCAGUUCUGUUGAAUUCCUGCAUAGUGUGUUAUUUUUACUCUUAAGAAUGCAAACAUGCUGCACUUAUGCACAUAAAACUGUAUUUUGAUUUCUUUUGUUUCUGCUGUAUGUCCAAGCCAGAGUCCAUGAAACUUUGAAGAAGCACGAUCUUACAAAAGCUCUUGUAAUGAAAGAGCUGGUGUGGUUUGUGCCAUGAUUAGGAGCUUACAAUAGCAUUCAAAAAUGACACUUCUGCAUAAACACUUUCGGCCGCUUCUGGAAGUUAUCAAGAUUGAUCGUGUAAGCACUGGGUGCCCCAGCAGCAUUUUUGUCAGAAGGUUUUGCAUUGCCAUUUCGGUGUUCCGCCAUUGAAGCUAUGUCGGAUCUAGAACAACUGAAAUCCGCAACAAACCAAACAGAAAAAUGCAGAGAUAACCACAAAUUUCAGAGAAGGUAUGUCUCUUCUCUCCUUUCUCUUCUAUUUCAUGAACAGAAUAUAGUUCAUCUGCAAAUUACAGUUUUUUUUUUAAGGAUUUAGAACUUUUUAAAAAAAUGAAAACUACUGGUUGAAAAGAAGAAAAAAAUA